rnacentral:rRNA from 1 species
UGGGGAAUAUUGGACAAUGGGCGAAAGCCUGAUCCAGCCAUGCCGCGUGUGUGAAGAAGGUCUUCGGAUUGUAAAGCACUUUAAGUUGGGAGGAAGAGCAGUAAGCGAAUACCUUGCUGUUUUGACGUUACCGACAGAAUAAGCACCGGCUAACUCUGUGCCAGCAGCCGCGGUAAUACAGAGGGUGCAAGCGUUAAUCGGAAUUACUGGGCGUAAAGCGCGCGUAGGUGGUUCGUUAAGUUGAAUGUGAAAGCCCCGGGCUCAACCUGGGAACUGCAUCCAAAACUGGCGAGCUAGAGUAGGGCAGAGGGUGGUGGAAUUUCCUGUGUAGCGGUGAAAUGCGUAGAUAUAGGAAGGAACACCAGUGGCGAAGGCGACCACCUGGGCUCAUACUGACACUGAGGUGCGAAAGCGUGGGGAGCAAACAGG